GCCUGUGUGGCGCAGUGGUAGCGCUUUCCACUCGUACGCCGGUUUUUACCGCAAAAUAUCGACGAAUGGAAGGGUCCCGUGUUCAAUCCGCGGCGGAGGCA
rnacentral:tRNA from 3 species